AAUCUUACCGGGUCCGGACAUAUCGAGGAUUGACAGACAGUUAUACAUGCCCUACAAGUAGGAGUCAGGUUUUAAACCUAAUGGCUCUUUCAUGAUUAUAUGAUAGGUGGUGCAUGGCCGUUCUUAGUUCGUGGAGUGAUCUGUCUGCUUAAUUGCGUUUCAAAAUUUAACUUGAGGACCGGGUUUUGGUUUGGCUAGUGGUUCUACGAUGACUGUGAACUGUCAUGUCUUCGGAUGUGCGACUAUUGGUCUAGGAUCACAUGACUUGCCCCUGGGACUCUUUUGAACGCAACGGACGUGAUUGCAACCCCUUGUUGAGAUUAGAGAUAGUCUCGAUAUUCACUGGACAAACUGGCUGCUUUAUGCAGUCUUGUUGAAUGGUGGAUAAACUCGGGGGACUGCUGACUAUAACCAUUUCUCAAAACAGAGGAAGGUUGCGGCAAUAACAGGUCUGUGAUGCCCUCAGAUGUCCCGGGCUGCACACGUGCUACAAUGAGUGGCGCAAUGUGCUAAUGUUUAAGGGAUAAGAGUGUGGUCAGUAGAACGUCGGGAUUUCCCCUGACGUCUCCCCCGCACGAUUAUCAGCCUUCCCUUAACAGGGCGGGCAACCUUUUCAAAAUACUGGUUUGAUGUUAAAGUAUUGAGUCGUUUUUUUUGGAUGGUGGUUUGUUAACCAAUACCAUCCGGCAACUGCUCGCGAGUUUGUGGUUCUGGCGACUCAUGGUGGGGACCGACGUUUGUAAUUUUUUGUCGCGUGUUAACUAGGAAU
rnacentral:rRNA from 1 species